UCCAGGGAAUGACAAAAGCUUCUAGCCACA
rnacentral:piRNA from 1 species